rnacentral:tRNA from 1 species
GAGGAUGUAGCUCAGUUUGGUAGAGCACCAGGUUGUGGCCCUGGGUGUCGCGGGUUCGAUCCCCGUCAUUCUCCCCA